rnacentral:rRNA from 1 species
CUGGAACGCGCCCCAGGCGCACCCAGAAACCCUUUGUGAACUUAUACCUUACUGUUGCCUCGGCGCAUGCUGGCCCCCUCGGGGUCCCUCGGAGACGAGGAGCAGGCACGCCGGCGGCCAAGUUAACUCUUGUUUUUACACUGAAACUCUGAGAAAAAACACAAAUGAAUCAAAACUUUCAACAACGGAUCUCUUGGUUCUGGCAUCGAUGAAGAACGCAGCGAAAUGCGAUAAGUAAUGUGAAUUGCAGAAUUCAGUGAAUCAUCGAAUCUUUGAACGCACAUUGCGCCCUCUGGUAUUCCGGAGGGCAUGCCUGUUCGAGCGUCAUUUCAACCCUCAAGCAUUGCUUGGUGUUGGGGCACUGCCUGUAAAAGGGCAGGCCCUGAAAUCUAGUGGCGAGCUCGCCAGGACCCCGAGCGCAGUAGUUAAACCCUCGCUUUGGAAGGCCCUGGCGGUGCCCUGCCGUUAAACCCCCAACUUUUGAAAAU